GACGUAGGGCGCAAGCGUUGUCCGGAUUUAUUGGGCGUAAAGAGCUCGUAGGCGGCCUGUCGCGUCGACCGUGAAAACCCGCAGCUCAACUGCGGGCUUGCAGUCGAUACGGGCAGACUAGAGUGCUGUAGGGGAGACUGGAAUUCCUGGUGUAGCGGUGAAAUGCGCAGAUAUCAGGAGGAACACCGGUGGCGAAGGCGGGUCUCUGGGCAGUAACUGACGCUGAGGAGCGAAAGCGUGGGGAGCGAACAGG
rnacentral:rRNA from 1 species